AAAGGAAACACAAAACGACAAAAACGAGACAAAAAAGGACAAAAACUUUGACAAAAAAAGUUGGAAAGCGACAAAAAAUGACAAAAUAUCUAGAAACAAAAUGACAAAAAAAUAGACUGAAUACAAGCGAGACAAAAAAAAUGAAAUGACAAAAAUGACACUCAAAGCAACGAAUAAAGUAAAACA